rnacentral:piRNA from 1 species
UCAUAUGUUAUAAAUAAAGCA